rnacentral:rRNA from 1 species
UGCAGUGGAGCGACGAACCGGGGCUUGCCCCGGGGCAGAGCCGCGAACGGGUGAGUAACACGUGGGUAACCCACCCCGAUGACCGGGACAACCCGAGGAAACUCGGGCUAAUACCGGAUGUGCCCCUUGAUCACGAGGUCAAGGUGUAAAGAUAGCUUCGGCCUUCGCAUCGGGACGGGCCCGCGGCCCAUUAGCUUGUUGGUGAGGUAACGGCUCACCAAGGCGACGAUGGGUAGCUGGUCUGAGAGGACGAUCAGCCACACUGGGACUGAGACACGGCCCAGACUCCUACGGGAGGCAGCAGUGGGGAAUCUUGCGCAAUGCGCGAAAGCGUGACGCAGCAACGCCGCGUGGGGGAAGACGGCCUUCGGGUUGUAAACCCCUUUCAGUUGGGACGAAGCUCCGCCGGUUAAUAGCCGGUCGGAGUGACGGUACCUUCACAAGAAGCCCCGGCUAACUACGUGCCAGCAGCCGCGGUAAUACGUANGGGGCUAGCGUUGUCCGGAAUCAUUGGGCGUAAAGCGCGUGUAGGCGGCCCGGUAAGUCCGCUGUGAAAGUCGGGGGCUCAACCCUCGAAUGCCGGUGGAUACUGUCGGGCUAGAGUGCGGAAGA